rnacentral:lncRNA from 1 species
AAAUUGGACAAGACUGUCGUGUUUGAUGUGGGCAGCAACAAGUUGACUGGCCCAAUACCCCAUUCAUUUGCAUGCCUAAAAAAGAUGGAGAUCCUGAACUUGGCCGUGAAUAAAUUUUACGGGCCGGUGCCGGAGAUGGUGUGCGACCUGCCUAGAUUAGCGAACUUGUCUCUCUCAUACAACUAUUUCACUCAGGUCGGACCUGAGUGCAGGAAAUUGAUAAAGAAAAGGAUUCUUGAUGUUAGAAUGAAUUGCAUUUUGGAUCUUCCUGGUCAGAGAUCAGCAGCUGAUUGUGCCAAGUUCUUCUCUAUCAAGAGGACUUGUCCCAAUGAGAGGUCACUCAGCUAUAUUCCUUGUAGGAAGGGUGGUUAUUCAAGUUCAUUGGAGACAUCUGAUCAACAAUCAAUGGCUCCGGCUGCUGCACCUAUAACAUAUAAUGCCC